rnacentral:tRNA from 1 species
GAGGGUAUUCCUCAGUGGUAGAGCGCGUGCUUAGUAUGCACGGGGUCCUGGAUUCAAUCCUCAGUACCUCUA